rnacentral:misc_RNA from 1 species
UAGUUUAGUUUAGUUUAGUUUAGUAUGAGUAAGAAACAGCAGAGAUUCAAACACCAAAUCACCCGAAAAUCAACUCAGCAAAGAAGAAAAGAAAAAGAAUGAAAGAUAGAAGCAGAUAUAUGCAAGAAGAGAAUAAGAAGAAUGAAAGAAAGAUAAAAGGGGCACUCCACUUUUAAUAGAGUGCCUGGGCUUGAUGAGGCCUUGCGCCAAGUGCGCCUUUUGCAUAUCGCCUGCCUAGAGGGUUUCUAGGCGCAAACCCUUGGGCCUCCUGUGCCUGGAGCCUCAGACACGCCUUUAAUAAUUAUGAAUGCUCCUUGUCAUCAAAGUUCCAUAUAAGUGAUUGGCAUUAGAAUUAUCUUUGGCAUGCCUUUCGUACAUAUGUUGUCAUCGUACUCCAUCUCAUGAUUUUUCUUUAACAGAUUAAAAUCUUCAUUAAUAUGAAAUUAUUAAAUAUUUUUGAGGCCAAGCACAGUAGAACCUACCAUAGUGCUGUGCCAAAACAGGCUUGCAAAAAGCAUGGGGAGGUUACAUCCCAAGAACAUGGCCAGGUGGGUAAUGCAAACCAUACCAUCGGUUGUAUCCUUCAUACAGUUCCUUUACAGCCUGUGCAUU